AAUUCUCAACCUUAUCAGCUUUUGUUGAUAAUGGCUUGGAUUUGGGGGUUUCUUGUUGGCUUCUUCACAAAGUCAGCUCCCCUUAAAUGUAUUAGCUGGUUGCCUUGUGCAGACUGUCUAUUGAUGUGAUAAUUAUCUACAUCGUGGACUUUCUUGCCAGUAUAUAGCACUGCUUCUAACUGUCUGUUGAAUCAGACAAUAUAUGACA
rnacentral:misc_RNA from 1 species